UCAUCGUCCAUUACCUGGAUAUUUGCGAAAAAGUGGUAUGUAUGCUUCUCUUAUCAAGAUGCAUUUGGAUUAAAACAGGAUGUUUCAUCAUGAGGCGAAAUGAAACUAGCACUCAAGACUAUUCCAAGGAAGAUGAGGCAGCCUAAUACUGCUUCAAGUACAUUCCUCUUUAUGAUUGUCGAAUGAACUGUGGUCCCUGAACACUGCACACUUCAGGAGCGUCAGGCACCAUAUCAACAUGGCAAUAUUAAGAAGAAAGCUGUGGCACAAAUUGACACCUCUUAUUUCUCGCUAUUUCAUGUCUGCAUUUAUACUUUAAUUUAAAUUGUCUUCAAAUGAAGUUAAUUAUUCUUCCCAGUUGUAAAGAGAAGUGUUUUAAAUUGGCGUUUUGAUAAUUGCUAAACUAAGUUAUAUGCGUACAAUACAUUUUUAAAGUUAAACUUUACUUUGCAGUGUUCAUUCUAGGAAAUUUUAUUUUAUAUUGAUAAACUUGUACACUCAUUCAUGUGUCACAAAUGCUGAACUGAUGUUCAACAGAAUUUGUUGUGGCU
rnacentral:lncRNA from 1 species